AUUGAACGCUGGCGGCAUGCCUUACACAUGCAAGUCGAACGGCAGCACGGGGCAACCUGGUGGCGAGUGGCGAACGGGUGAGUAAUGCAUCGGAACGUACCUUUCAGUGGGGGAUAACGUAGCGAAAGUUGCGCUAAUACCGCAUAUUCUGUGAGCAGGAAAGCAGGGGAUCGCAAGACCUUGCGCUGAUUGAGCGGCCGAUGUCAGAUUAGCUAGUUGGUGAGGUAAAGGCUCACCAAGGCGACGAUCUGUAGCGGGUCUGAGAGGAUGAUCCGCCACACUGGAACUGAGACACGGUCCAGACUCCUACGGGAGGCAGCAGUGGGGAAUUUUGGACAAUGGGGGCAACCCUGAUCCAGCCAUGCCGCGUGAGUGAAGAAGGCCUUCGGGUUGUAAAGCUCUUUCGGCCGGGAAGAAAUCGCACGGACUAAUACCCUGUGUGGAUGACGGUACCGGAAUAAGAAGCACCGGCUAACUACGUGCCAGCAGCCGCCGUAACAC
rnacentral:rRNA from 1 species